ACCGAAGGUUGAUCUCAAACCACU
rnacentral:siRNA from 1 species